rnacentral:lncRNA from 1 species
AUAAACUUUGGGGUCUCGCAAUUCUGGCUACGAGCUAGGUUGAACGAGUAAGAAUUUUCAAGAAGAAAAUAAAAAUUUUCCGGGGAAAAAAUAUUUCCGGGGAAAAAGACAAAAUAGGCACUAUUCACCCAACAAAACCUAAGGGUUAGGGUUUGAAUAACCUAAGCCAUUCUGAGAGUUCGGUAUGUCGAAAUGACAUUCUGUUAAAAGAUUUACCGAAAAUAUGUCGUGAAAAGUUAAGUAAGCUGAAAAAAAGUUUUUCUCGAAA